rnacentral:rRNA from 1 species
UACAGAGGUCUCAAGCGUUGUUCGGAUUCAUUGGGCGUAAAGGGUGCGUAGGUGGCGAGGUUAGUCAGGUGUGAAAUCUCGGGGCUCAACCCCGAAACUGCACUUGAUACUGCCUUGCUAGAGUACUGGAGAGGAGAUUGGAAUUUACGGUGUAGCAGUGAAAUGCGUUGAUAUGCACAGGAACUCCGGUGGCGAAGGCGGCGAGCUGGACAGAUACUGACGCUGAGGCACGAAGGCCAGGGGAGCAAACGGG